CAUGAUACUGCUCAGUUAUGAAAUAAGUUUAAAGGAAGCAUGGGAGACUCAUGACUUCUGAUAAUUAAGAUCUUGUUUUUACUUUUUAAAAAGCAAGUUUUUUUUUUUUUUAGGACCAGUAGCUGUAAAGAGCAUUUGAGUUGCCUAUUUCUAGCAUUUCCUUUUUCUAUACAUGGCUGAGUAGCUUUGCAGGGAUCAUAUGGCUAGGACUGGAACAGCAAAUCUGAGUGCUCUUGCGAGCGCCUCAAGUCUUAAUGGAGGUUGUGUCACAAUCAUGGAGCCGUAGGAGGAGCUGAAGCUAUUCCAGUACUCAUCAUACUCUGUAAAUUCUGUGCUGCUUCUUCCGAAGAGAAUGAGUGUUUUGGUGUUUUAGGGAAUUUGCGAGAUGAGCCCUUUUUGGAAAAGGAGGAAUCUUACUUAUGGACUCGAGUUCGACAGUGUUUCUUUUGACCCAAGAUGGAAGAAUUCAUCUAUCACGUUAACAAAUGUAAAUACGCUGUAUUAA
rnacentral:lncRNA from 1 species